rnacentral:rRNA from 1 species
UACGUAGGGAGCAAGCGUUGUCCGGAAUCAUUGGGCGUAAAGCGCGCGUAGGUGGCCUCGUAAGUCCGCUGUGAAAGUCAAAGGCUCAACCUUUGAAAGCCGGUGGAUACUGUGAGGCUAGAGUACGGAAGAGGCGAGUGGAAUUCCUGGUGUAGCGGUGGAAUGCGCAGAUAUCAGGAGGAACACCAAUAGCGAAGGCAGCUCGCUGGGACGGUAUUGACGCUGAGGCGCGAAAGCGUGGGGAGCAAACAGG